rnacentral:rRNA from 1 species
AUCAACUUUCGAUGGUAGGAUAGAGGCCUACCAUGGUGGUAACGGGUAACGGGGUGUUAGGGCACGACACCGGAGAGGGAGCCUGAGAAACGGCUACCACAUCCAAGGAUGGCAGCAGGCGCGCAAAUUACCCAAUCCCGACACGGGGAGGUAGUGACAAUAAAUAACAAUACGGGGUUCUUUUGGAUUUCGUAAUUGGAAUGAGUACAAUUUAAAUCUCUUAACGAGGAACAAUUGGAGGGCAAGUCUGGUGCCAGCAGCCGCGGUAAUUCCAGCUCCAAUAGCGUAUAUUAAAGUUGUUGCAGUUAAAAAGCUCGUAGUUGAAUUUCGGGAUCAGUACGCUGGUCGUGCCUUCGGUAUGCACUGGUGUCACUGGUUCCUCCCUUCUGAAGAACUGUCAUGCCAUUCAGUUGGUGUGGCGGGAAAUCAGGACUGUUACUUUGAAAAAAUUAGAGUGUUUAAAGCAGGCUCGCGCUUGAAUACAUUAGCAUGGAAUAAUGAAAUAGGACGUUUGAUCCUAUUUUGUUGGCUUCUAGGAUCGACGUAAUGAUUAAUAGGGAUAGUUGGGGGCAUUAGUAUUCAAUUGUCAGAGGUGAAAUUCUUGGAUUUAUUGAAGACUAACUACUGCGAAAGCAUUUGCCAAGGAUGUUUUCAUUAAUCAAGAACGAAAGUUAGGGGAUCGAAGACGAUCAGAUACCGUCGUAGUCUUAACCAUAAACUAUGCCGACUAGGGAUCGGAUGAUGUUAAUUUUAUAAUGACUCAUUCGGCGCCUUACGGGAAACCAAAGUGUUUGGGUUC